rnacentral:rRNA from 1 species
UACCAGACUCCUACGGGAGGCAGCAGUGGGGAAUAUUGCACAAUGGGGGGAACCCUGAUGCAGCGACGCCGCGUGGGUGAAGGAGUAUUUCGGUAUGUAAAGCCCUAUCAGCAGGGAAGAACAAUGACGGUACCUGACUAAGAAGCACCGGCUAAAUACGUGCCAGCAGCCGCGGUAAUACGUAGGGGGCAAGCGUUAUCCGGAUUUACUGGGUGUAAAGGGAGCGUAGACGGCGAUGCAAGCCAGAUGUGAAAGCCCGGGGCUCAACCCCGGGACUGCAUUUGGAACUGUGUGGCUGGAGUGUCGGAGAGGCAGGCGGAAUUCCUAGUGUAGCGGUGAAAUGCGUAGAUAUUAGGAGGAACACCAGUGGCGAAGGCGGCCUGCUGGACGAUGACUGACGUUGAGGCUCGAAAGCGUGGGGAGCAAACAGGAUUAGAUACCCCAGUAUC